UAUAUUAAUAAUACUUUUAAGAUAAAAAUUAAUAAAAAAAAUGUCAUACUUCUAUUAGUUAUAUAUACUAUUUUAUUAACGUGCGUUACUUCUAAAUUAUAACAAUAAUGUCUUUAAACUAAUAAAAUAUAAUAUAUAAAAAGAAAUUAAAUAAAAAAACUAAUGACCCAGUAUCUUCAAAAUAGAAUUAGGCAAUUAGGGGUAAAGUCUUUUACCAUUUCUCUUCUGCAUAAGUCGAUAGCACAACCCUAUGCUAUAACAGCUACCGACGACAACUGCAAUCCAGCAAUCUAUGACAACUAGGGAGAACAGCGACAACCUAGGUGACGGCGGCGACGACGGCUCCUUCCUCGGAUACAGGCAAGCCCUAAUCUGCUCGUGGUCCAGCCCAUCUCCGGCCUAAAGCUUCGGCGUCUUCGCGCCUAACUCUCACUCCGACCGUUCGAUCGCUGCCCUCCACCCAUCUCCGGCGUAAAGCUCUUCUCGCUGCCGUGUUCCUGCUUCUCUAUCUUCUUCACAGUGAUAGCCACAAGACUUUGGAUGAGAUGCUUUCUGAUGAAUAUUAUGAGCAAGAUGGGAAAGAGCAGAAUGAUUUAAUGCAUUAUAGAGGGUUUCCUCAUUCUUUGGGGUCUAAUUCUGAGCAACAACUAAAGCCAGCUGCAGGGAAUAAGAAUACUGCAAGAUCUUCUAGAGUCUUGAAUGGCAGUGAAAAUUUUGGCGAUGGAGAUGAAGAUGACAACAAUAAUGAUGAUGCUGAUUAUGAAGAGGAUGAAGAUGGAGGAACUUGAAGAGGAAGAUAGUGAUUGUAUUGAGAAAGUGCUGUGGCAUCAACCAAAGGGCGUGGCUGAAGAAGCUCUUAGGAGUAAAAGAUCAACUAAUCAUGUUCUACUUAGCUACUUGUUUGAUUCUGAGCCAAAUUGGAAUGAGAUGGAAUUCUUGAUAAAAUGGAAAGGCCAAUCCCAUUUACACUGUCAGUGGAAAUCAUUUUCUGAGCUUCAGAAUCUUAGUGGUUUUAAGAAGGUUUUGAAUUACACUAAAAAGGCAACGGACGAAGUCAGGUUCAGGAAGACAGUCACACGUGAGGAGAUUGAGGUUAAUGAUGUGAGCAAGGAGAUGGACUUGGACCUCAUCAAGCAAAAUAGUCAGGUGGAAAGGAUAAUUUCAGAUCGCAUUAGUAAAGACAGUUCUGGAGAUGUAAUUCCAGAGUACCUAGUCAAGUGGCAAGGGUUAUCUUAUGUUGAAGCGACAUGGCUUAUAGCUCUGGAGAACAGUACUACUCACACACCUUUAAGCUCAUCACAGUGUUCUUGCAUGAAGCAAGUCAUGCUAUUGCUUGCAAACUCACAUGUGGUCAUGUGGAGGGAAUCCAAGUCCAUGCAAAUGAGGGUGGCGUCACACAAACGCGUGGUGGUGUAUAUUGGUUGAUAUUACCUGCAGGAUGUAAUACACUUUUUUCCCUAGCAACUAUUUUUUCUAUGGUCCACGCCCUACUUUCAAGUUUGUUAAGUGGAAAUGAAACAUUGCAUGCUUUUCUUUGAUAGAAUAUUCAUCAAUGUAUUUCCUCUGUCUUUGCAUUCCUUAGUUCAAUUGAUUUUUUUUUUCAAUCUGAACAAAAAAAGCUUCACUUCAAUAGACCUUUUUUUUUUCUCAGUUCUUUAUGUAUUCAAGGUGUUUCUUACGUGCGUCAAUUAUACAUGUUGGCCUUGCACUUGGUUUCUGGCACUGAACUACCCUUAAGAAUUUCUUAUUACUGAUUAUUCUUUCAAAUUGCAUACACCAAGUUCAAUUGUAGUAAAACUGAAAAUGAGGUCUUUGUAAAUUCAGUAGAAUUUUUUAUUUCUUUUGAUAUUGGUUUUACAAUUCUUGUCAAUUAGCAUGAUGUGUUUCCAUGGCUUCAUGCUUUAUACGAAAUUUUACAUACUCAGAUCUUGGCUCAUCAUUCUGGUGAAUGACUUUGAUACUCGCAUCAACAAAUCUCCUCACUGCGAGAAUUGCUGCUGGUUGUUUAAUUGUUUGCUCUAUUUGUGGUGCUCUGUAUUGCUAAAAACGUAAGAUUGCUAUUUCAUAUAUUUCAGUGUUGAGAAAUGCAAACAUUAUUGCAUAUUGUCUUCAUCAGUUACUAUGAAGUGAGCACUUAUUAAUUUUUCCUUUUAAUCUUGUUCAUUAUAUAGUGGACACUCCGUGGACUUUGUAUCGAAGUCGCAGAAAGAGGAGGAUAUGGAGGAGAGAGGUAUGAGCAGCUGGAGUUUCAGAAGAAAGCUAGGCAAUGUUACAAGGGUCUCCAUGAUGCUUCUUGGAAGGUAAUUUUGUGUUUCGUUUGGUGACAAGUAAUAAAGCAUAAUGCAACUUUAAAAGUCAUCUUUUUUUUUUAAUAUUGAUUAAAGUAUGAUAAUAGAGAGAUGGGUUAUUUCAUGAACAGUCACAUAUGAGGUACUAAAACUACUAAUUUAUGUUAUUUCAUUUGCUCAUUAGUAAGGAUUGUCAAUAUUACCAGUCCCUUGCAUAAGUUCUUCAUUUGUUUAUAUAUUUAGGAGAAGUAAUUUAUAAGUCAUUAGCAAGUGCAUAUGAAUAUAUUUUGUUUGAAGUUACAAAUUGUAAUAUAUAAUUAUUCUCAAAAACACCUAAAAGGUUGGAGAAGCAAGGUUCUUUACAUUGAGGCUUGUCUUACAUAUUCCGCAUUUGCCUCGAUGAAUUUUUAAACCAACUUAUGAUUCUUACUCUAUAAACAGAGCAUUGCACUUUAGCUUUAAUUUUUAUUGUUAACAGUCAACUUAUGGUCAUAUAAAAUGUUGUGUUACAUGUAAUUACCUUCUUUUUCAGUUUUGAGUUUCUUUAAUCGGUGAUUGUCCAGAGUUUUGAGUUUUCAAUAGAUGAUAAAGACGCCAAAAUGUCAUAUAACAGAGCAGAUAGAUUAUAUAGAUCAUCUUAUGUUAAACGAGUAUAGUAUGAAAUAUAUGAAUUUCUAGCCUUGGUAGUGGUGCAUUGCUAACUCUGUUAGGAGUUCUUUCAUCUGCAUAUAAUGAUUGAAUAUUAAUGAUUUUGUUGAAUAUGUGUUUCUUUGAAUGUGGUGUUUUAUUACUUGUGGUAUUUGUGAGAGUUUCAAGAUUUUAGAAAAAUACAACAAGAAAGGCGUAAUCAUUUAUAAUACCCUCGUAGGACUUCACGCCAUAGCUAUACUGA